rnacentral:rRNA from 1 species
AGUGAACGCUGGCGAUAGGCCUAACACAUGCAAGUCGAACGGCAGCACAGUAAGAGCUUGCUCUUACGGGUGGCGAGUGGCGGGCGGGUGAGGAAUACAUCGGAAUCUACUUUUUCGUGGGGGAUAACGUAGGGAAACUUACGCUAAUACCGCAUACGACCUACGGGUGAAAGCAGGGGAUCUUCGGACCUUGCGCGAUUGAAUGAGCCGAUGUCGGAUUAGCUAGUUGGCGGGGUAAAGGCCCACCAAGGCGACGAUCCGUAGCUGGUCUGAGAGGAUGAUCAGCCACACUGGAACUGAGACACGGUCCAGACUCCUACGGGAGGCAGCAGUGGGGAAUAUUGGACAAUGGGCGCAAGCCUGAUCCAGCCAUACCGCGUGGGUGAAGAAGGCCUUCGGGUUGUAAAGCCCUUUUGUUGGGAAAGAAAAGCAGCAGGUUAAUACCCCGCUGUUCUGACGGUACCCAAAGAAUAAGCACCGGCUAACCUCGU